rnacentral:rRNA from 1 species
GUAGUCAUAUGCUUGUCUCAAAGAUUAAGCCAUGCAUGUCUAAGUAUAAGCAAUUAUACAGCGAAACUGCGAAUGGCUCAUUAUAUAAGUUAUCGUUUAUUUGAUAGUACUUUCCUACAUGGAUAACCGUGGUAAUUCUAGAGCUAAUACAUGCUAAAAAUCCCGACUUCGGAAGGGAUGUAUUUAUUAGAUUAAAAACCAAUGCCCUUCGGGGCUCACUGGUGAUUCACAAUAACUUCACGGAUCGCACGGCCUUGCGCCGGCGAUGGUUCAUUCAAAUUUCUUCCCUAUCAACUUUCGAUGUUUGGGUCUUGGCCAAACAUGGUUGCAACGGGUAACGGGGAAU